UUACUGUAUCAGCUGAUUAUUUGUCUCUUAUUCUGUUAUUAUUCUCUUCUGUAAAUUUAUUUCUCAGUGUAACUGUAGUAAAACAGUAUAUAUGCUCAGCACACCUACCUUCAUAUAAAUAAAGGUAAAAUAAGUUUACGAUUGAAACAAACAAAUCUGCUAUUGGAUGCUUCAUUGCCAAACUAUUAGCAUCUGGUUAAUAAAACCCAGUUUAUCCCUGUUCUUGAAGACUUCCUCUCACACCCCUUGUGUAUCACAGACCAGAUGCAGCGUUUAGUUUCUCCAUAGAAACUAAACGCUUGUCACUUGUUAGCCCUCUGACAUUAGCGCAAGUGUGAAUCACUUGGCCCGAAGGCUGGCUGGCAGGCCUCCAAGGGGCUUUCGUGACAACACCAGACAGCCGGAGGACAACCCCCUCCAAACACACACACACACUGACUCAUACAGUCAUACACACACACACACACAACUUGUCCUCUUGCUACUCUACUCUUUCCCUCCUCUACUCUCAAAGCCUCGGUUGGAUCUGCAGACUCUGGCCUGGCUCCGUGCUGGCCGCCUGAGGGCAGGAUGACGGUACCACCGGGGCAGCAGCUGCUGUUGUCGACCCAACAUUGGUACACCGGAAAUAACAAACGGGCCUGAGGAACGCUGUGUGCCUUAACAAACGAUUCAUCAUUCGCUACAUUUUUCCUGCAAGAGAGUCCAGCUCCUAACCCAUUUAACUAAACAAACCUGGUCCUAAGUAGACACCAGUAAACAUCAUCCGAUUAUAAGAAACCCAGUUAAGAUACUUGGCUCACUCCCACGGUUAACGGGUUCCUGUGGCAUGGAAACUUCUUUUACCUUUCGUUCAACCCAAGUAGGACUUAAACUGGAGUUCUGCCAAUAGAUGGAUUACUGAGUGCAUGCAAACACAGUGAACAUUUUAUUAUUUUAGCAAGACACCUCUCAAAUAUGAACGGUCAGUCGGCCUGUUUGUUAAACGUCAGAGAAGCCGUAGCGACCACGACAAGACAGUCGCGGAGGACGAUUCUGUUUGUGCGUGACAACUUGAAAUAAUCGGUCGAAUCAGAACCACAACAGGCAAAUGAAGCAGCGCAGGUUCUGAUGAAUUAUCAACUUAUGCAAAAAUUGUACCACCAACAGUGCCGAAGAGGAAGUAGUACGCAGAUAAAACCGCAGGCGUGGAGGUUAAGCAGAGGGUGUAACCAAGGAGUCCAACUUUAGACUCAUCCUUCAUUGUGCAGUCAGCAGUUCAGUCCGAGGGUGUUGGAUGGGAUGGAGGUCAGGACUCUUUUUAAGGUCAGUGAAGUUCUUCCACGCUGGGUCAGGUGGCCUUCGAGCGUAAAAGGAAAUUACAGGGAAACAAACAAUUUAACGCAGCCUGUUUUACCUACAUCGCUGCUCUAGAGUCUCAAGUCUUGGUGAUGAAGUCCCAAGUCAGUUUUUUUCUAGAUAUGGGUACAAAACAGAUUAAAUGCAGGUAUCGUUUGACUGGAGAAGUUACUUCGUACUGGGUUAUUUCAGUCGAUACCUUAAAGGUGUCCAGUACUGAGCUUUAGUAACAUCAGACUCUGACUCUGGUGAUUUGUUAUUAAUACUAUGAAGAUCAGUUUAUACCGAUCAGCACACAGGGUAUGCGAGUCGAGUUCUCAAGCAGGUUCAUGACUCGAAUCUUACUUGACUCCAAGUCAUGUGACACAAGUCUACGGCUCUGUUGAUACCUGCAGCUACCAUCCAUAUACAGCAAUCUUCUUCCCUCCACAUACUGAUGGUGAUUGUGUGUUCUGUCAAAACAGGGAUGUCAACAUACCUGCAACAUCGGAGACGGCAAUCUAAGCCAACUUGAAUUAACUGGUAGAUGAAUCACUUAUUGCUGCAAUUAUUUCCUCACAGAGGGAAGCCUCAGGUCAACACCAAUAAGUUCAAUCAAAGGAACGUUGGAAUGGGAGCAGACAGCAGUGGUUUAAUGAGGCACUCUGCUGGGUACGGAUUGUUUACGCUCUGUGUCAUGGAAAAAUGAGAGGGCUAAAUUAAAAUGGUCUGCUGUGCUGUGUGGACGUUUGCUGCCUGCUUUCUGCCUCUGCCUUUUCUGACUCACACUGUUCUCCUGCAAGAGGAAUAAACAUGGAAAUACACUGGAACACACACAGGUUCAUAACAUAGGACACCACAGGUUUUUUUGUUUAUGAGAGAAAACCAGAGGAUGGGGAGAGGGAUUUAGAAAAGAGCGCGAGGGAGACUGGGCAAAUUAUGGGAGAGAGAAAAAAAAAGGGAGAGAGGGCAUGUGCUUGGAAACGUGUCUGUCCAUGCUGACAGCAUGUGACUCCAUACGAGUCUUUGAGCAGCACAGCAGGAGUGUGUGUGUGUGUGAUGUUUUUAUUUUAUUUGCGUGUGUCUUCCAGUCUUUCUCUCUUUGCAUGUGAAUGUGCAGGGUUUUUGCAAAUGCCCAUUUCACCAGCUUGAACCCUAACUUUUUUUUUAUCUUUGAUCGACCUAAUCGAAUGAAAUCCGGCCGUCGUGUCACGUUCAUAUCAGCGCCGUUUACAGUCGAUAUGUAAUCAAACCCGACUGUCUCAUAUCCAUCACAUCAGAGAAGAAGAUCAGCCUGGUCUUUCUGUUUUAAUCCUCGCAGGCGCUGUUGUUUUGGCAGGUUGUUUCCUGCAGGGUGGAUUGGCUUCCCCAUGUGUUGUCACUUCCCAGUAACAAACCCCCCACCCCGCCCACCCAUACAGUAGGAAAUACUCUGUGUGACACGUGAAAGAGGUGACGAGGUGACAAGGUGGCAAAGACAGGACGCAUCGUCAUC